GGGAAUAUAGCUCAAUUGGUAGAGUGCUUGCCUAGAACACAUGAGGACUUGGGUUCAAUCCCCAGUACUGCAU
rnacentral:tRNA from 1 species